UGGCGGACGGGUGAGUAACGCGUGGGUAACCGUGCCCUGUACAGGGGGAGUAACAGCUGGAAACGGCUGCUAAUACCGCAUAAGCGCACGAGGAGACAUCUCCUUGUGUGAAAAACUCCGGUGGUACAGGAUGGGCCCGCGUCUGAUUAGCUGGUUGGCAGGGUAACGGCCUACCAAGGCAACGAUCAGUAGCCGGUCUGAGAGGAUGAACGGCCACAUUGGAACUGAGACACGGUCCAAACUCCUACGGGAGGCAGCAUG
rnacentral:rRNA from 1 species